rnacentral:rRNA from 1 species
UACAGGGGGGGCAAGCGUUGUUCGGAAUUACUGGGCGUAAAGGGCUCGUAGGCGGCCGGCUAAGUCCGACGUGAAAUCCCUCGGCUCAACCGGGGAACUGCGUCUGAUACUGGGUGGCUUGAAUCCGGGAGAGGGAUGCGGAAUUCCAGGUGUAGCGGUGAAAUGCGUAGAUAUCUGGAGGAACACCGGUGGCGAAGGCGGCAUCCUGGACCGGCAUUGACGCUGAGGCGCGAAAGCCAGGGGAGCAAACGGG